AGCAGCCGCGGUAAUUCCAGCUCCAAUAGCGUAUAUUAAAGUUGUUGCAGUUAAAAAGCUCGUAGUUGAAUUUCGGAAUCUGUCCAUCGGUCGGGCUUCACUGUCCGUACUGGUGUGGUGGGUUCUUACCUUCUGAAUAACCAGCAUGCCAUUAAUUUGGUGCGUUGGGGAAGCAGGACUAUUACCUUGAAAAAUUAGAGUGCUCAAAGCAGGCCAGUGCCUGAAUACAUUAGCAUGGAAUAAUAAAAUAGGACGGCAUGGUUCUAUUUUGUUGGUUUCUAGGAUCACCGUAAUGAUUAAUAGGGAUAGUUGGGGGCAUUAGUAUUCAAUUGUCAGAGGUGAAAUUCUUGGAUUUAUUGAAGACUAACUUCUGCGAAAGCAUUUGCCAAGGAUGUUUUCAUUAAUCAAGAACGAAAGUUAGGGGAUCGAAGACGAUCAGAUACCGUCGUAGUCUUAACCAUAAACUAUGCCGACUAGGGAUCGGACGAUGUAAUUUUUAAUGACUCGUUCGGCGCCUUAA
rnacentral:rRNA from 1 species